rnacentral:rRNA from 1 species
UAACCGGAUUAGAUACCCGGGCCCUGUACAUACCGCCCGUCACACCCUGGGAAUUGGUUUCGCCCGAAGCAUCGGACCAAUGAUCACCCAUGACUUCGGUGUACCACUAGUGCCACAAAGGCUUUUGGUGGUCUUAUUGGCGCAUACCACGGUGGGGUCUUCGACUGGGGUGAAGUCGUAACAAGGUAACCA